UAUGGUCACAUCAUGUUGAAACACCACUACCUGUAAGAUCUCUGAAGUUAAGCAACAUUGAGCCUAGUUAGUACCUAGAUGGGUGACCACUUGAGAAUACCAGGUGCUGUGA